rnacentral:lncRNA from 1 species
CAAGACUCAGACAAGGUUGGUGGACUGGACAGUCUGCUCUCUGAUAUUUCUAUUUCAUACUCCUGUUAACCUAGCUUGUAUUGACUGUGAUCUACCAAAAUCUGAUUGUCAACCACUUGUUUUUCAUAGGUUGCAAAUGUCACAGCAUGAAAAACAUUUAAAGACAGUUUAAGCCAUCUGUCAGUGUUUGUAUAAGUAUAAGCUAAGCCUGGGUCACUGUCUGCAUUAAGACUGAGCUUGCGGUCUUCAUUCUCCCUCUAUGUCCAGUUCAUCCUCUCCUGUUUGAUUCCGGUAAAAUUCUGGGGAGCAACCAAAAGUUUCGUGUGAGCUCUUUUCUAAACCAACUCCUGGGUCAGACGAAAGUCAAAGGAUGAAUAUGACAAGUGUCAAAGGAAAUGUAAUACAGAUUCCGUCACAUCAUCUCCCAACACCGUGAGUAAAGGUCUCAUCCGUCUUGUGUUACAGCAAUAACGAUGAUGAGGACCUGACCCCGGAGCAGAAGGCCGAGCGUGAGAAGGAGCGGAGGAUGGCCAAUAACGCCCGUGAGCGCCUGAGGGUCCGUGAUAUCAACGAGGCUUUCAAGGAGCUGGGCCGCAUGGUACAGCUCCACCUGAAGAGCGACAAGCCCCAGACCAAGCUCCUGAUUCUCCACCAGGCAGUGGCUGUCAUCCUCAGCCUGGAGCAGCAAGUGCGAGGUCAGCGCGUAGAUGCUCAGGCACCCUCCAAAGAAUUGCCUGGGUGUGGGACUGUAUCAAAAUCCGUCUCCUGUAAUUAAGUUGUAGAAGGUCCUUCUAACUGGUGCUGUACUACAGCUUUUCCGUCUGUGUUCUCAGUCAUGAGACGGGAUUUACCAACCUAUUUCCAUCCCAUUCUUGUGUGUGCAUGCGUGCAUUCGUGCGUGUGUG